rnacentral:lncRNA from 1 species
GGGGACAUUCACAGACACAUUUAAGCAUCGUUUGCAUACGCAUUCAUGAAUACAUACGUAUAUAUGAACGGGGAGGGACUACAGGGAUGGCGGUUCCAUCUUCGCGGUCACAUGCGACCCUCCUCUCUCCCAAAGGCGGCCUUUUCAAGGCCUUCUCCUUGCACCUUGGGGUGUCCGUCCGGCGGGGCGGGGUUGGUGGGGGUCGCAGAGACACCUUGACCACCGCAUCCACAUCUGUGUGCGUGCGUGCAUGCGUUGGCGGCUGUGACCUCGCUCCGUGGCUGUGGGCGGUGGCAGUGACCUCACUCUGCGGCUGCGGUGAACGGUCACAGUUCUGCAGCGGGGAACACCGGCGGGCCUCAAGUCACGCGGCGGCGGCGGGGGGAACCGGGGACCCCGGAAACAGCUGCGGGCCGAGGAAGCCCCGUCUGUGCGCGGCAGAGCCUGUCAUGGCAGCAGAGCCCGCCCGCUUCUCCCGUGCAGGGCCCGGGAAGGCUGCGUACGCGGCGGUAGAGGCACAAGGAGGCAGAGGGACCUCAGCAGGGCCAUGUGCGGGCGGCGGAGGCCGGGUCCCCCCGCAGGGGAGACGGCGGCGAACCGGGAAAGUCCGCGGAGCUGUAAGAGUAACAAGAAGAAUGAAUGCUUCUCUCCUAAAUGCUCCUCAGGGUCAGUUAACAUUCGAGGACGUGGCUGUGGACUUCUCACAGGAGGAAUGGGAAUGUCUUGACUGUGCUCAGAGGGCACUGUACAUGGAUGUGAUGUUGGAGAAUUACAAUAAUCUGUUUUUUGUGGGUAAGAAUACUCUUCUUGUAUAAUUCCUGACUCAUUCUGUGAAUUUACCUACUAUUUGGUUAUAUAAACCCUCUGACAUAUCUAAAGACUCCCAGAAUAAAGGAAAUCCUGG